CUUGAAUGUCAGGACUGUAUCUUGUCUAAACUUUUUAUCUCUUUUAGAGCCAACACAGUACUCUAAACAAAGAAAGAGUUUAAUAAAUGUUUACUGAGUAAGGAAUGACGAAUAAGGUCUUGAACCAAGCUCAAGGAAUAGAUCCUUCCUCCACUUGUUAUCCUGUCCUGCAGAAAACUCUGUACGGUCCAGUUCACCCCUUAUUCAGGCAAUCUGUGGAUCCUCUGCUCUUAGGAAAAUCGACAUAUUGGUGCAGCCACCUGCUUCAUCCUUUCCAAACUCUCCAGCUUUAGCCUCCCUCAGAAGCAGGAAUUACAGAGUGUAGCUUCUGUUCAUGCUACAGCUUCUUGGAACCACAUUGAGUGACAGCUGGACACUAAAGGUGGAUGAGCAGCCCUCAAAAGGGUUCCAAAAGCCCUCACAUAGAGGUGCUGGUCCUCCCUGAACACCCCUAAGA
rnacentral:lncRNA from 1 species